CCUACGGGAUGCAGCAGUGGGGAAUAUUGCACAAUGGGCGCAAGCCUGAUGCAGCCAUGCCGCGCGUAUGAAGAAGGCCUUCGGGUUGUAAAGUACUUUCAGCGGGGAGGAAGGUGUUGUGGUUAAUAACCACAGCAAUUGACGUUACCCGCAGAAGAAGCACCGGCUAACUCCGUGCCAGCAGCCGCGGUAAUACGGAGGGUGCAAGCGUUAAUCGGAAUUACUGGGCGUAAAGCGCACGCAGGCGGCCUGUCAAGUCGGAUGUGAAAUCCCCGGGCUCAACCUGGGAACUGCAUUCGAGACUGGCAGGCUAGGGUCUUGUAGAGGGGGGUAGAAUUCCGGGUGUAGCGGUGAAAUGCGUUGAGAUCUGGAGGAAUACCGGUGGCGAAGGCGGCCCCCUGGACAAAGACUGACGCUCAGGUGCGAAAGCGUGGGGAGCAAACAGGAUUAGAUACCCCAGUAGUC
rnacentral:rRNA from 1 species